rnacentral:rRNA from 1 species
ACGCUGGCGGCGUGGAUAAGGCAUGCAAGUCGAACGCGACCUUUUCUGAAAGUGCUGCGAUUACAUCAAGGCACCUGAUGGUUUGGUCGAGUGGCAAACGAGUUAGUAACACCUUGGUACGUACCCUCCAGUCGGGCACAACGGGUCGAAAGAUUCGCUAAUUCCCGAUAGACCGGCAACGGUAAAGUCGCAAGACGCUGGUGGAGCGGCCUAGGUCCUAUCAGCUUGUUGGUGAGGUAACGGCUCACCAAGGCUACGACGGGUAGGGGGUGUGAGAGCAUGACCCUCAACGACGAAACUGAGACACGGUUCGUACACCUACGGGUGGCAGCAGUCGAGAAUAUUCGACAAUGGGCGAAAGCUGAUCGAGCGACGCCGCGUGCGGGAUGAAGGCCUUCGGGUUGUAAACCGCUUUUGCGUGGGAAGAACUUUGACGGUACCACGAGAAUAAGGGGUUGCUAACUCUGUGCCAGCAGCAGCGGUAAUACAGAGACCCCGAGCGUUAUCCGGAUUUACUGGGCGUAAAGGGCGAGCAGCCGGUCGGACUAGUCUGAUGUUAAAUGGCGGGGCCCAACUCCGUCGCCGCAUCGGAAACGGUACGACUCGAGCGGGUGAGAGGCAGGCAGAACGUGUAGUGUAGGGGUGAAAUCCACUGAUAUUACACGGAAUACCAAAAGCGAAGGCAGCCUGCUAGCGCCUUGCUGACGGUCAGUCGCGAAAGCGUGGGGAUCAAAAAGGAUUAGAUACCCUUGUAGUCCACGCCCUAAACGUUGCCAACUAGCUAUUGGGAGCAUCGACCCUUCCAGUGGCGAAGCUAACGCGUUAAGUUGGCCGCCUGGGAAGUACGAGCGCAAGCUUAAAACUCAAAGGAAUAGGCGGGAACUCGCACAAGCAGUGGGUCAUGUGGUUCAAUUCGACUCUAACCGAGAAACCUCACCAGGGCUUGAAAUCCAGCUGCACGCUUCAGAAAUGAAGAAGCCUUCGAGGGUGCUGGACAGGUGUUGCACGGCUGUCGUCAGCUCGUCACGUGAGUGGUCUCCUUAAGUGGAUUAACGAGCGCAACCCCUACGAUGUGUUACAAGUGUCACGUCGGACUGCUCCGGUAACGGAGAGGAAGGUGGGGAUGACGUCAAGUCAGCGUGGCCCUUUGAUGCCCUGGGCUACACACAUGAUACAAUGGCCAUUACAACGGGUUGCCAAGCCGCGAGGCGGAGCUAAUCCUAUCAAAGGUGGCCCCAGUUCGGAUUGGAGGCUGCAACUUGCCUCCAUGAAGUUGGAAUUGCUAGUAAUCGCGGAUCAGCAUGCCGCGGUGAAUACGUUCUCGAGUCUUGUACUCACCGCCCGUCAAGUCAAGGGAGCUGGGGGUGCCCGAAGGUCUGCCUUGCGCAUGACUA